AGUGAACGCUGGCGGUAGGCCUAACACAUGCAAGUCGAGCGGCAGCACAGUGCGAGCUUGCUCUUACGGGUGCCGAGUGGCGGACGAGUGCGGGGUACCUGGGUGUUUGCUUUUUAGAGGGUGCGAAAGUGGGGGCUAAUACGGUAUACGUCCUUACGGACAACGGGUGAGAGCUUGGGAUCUUACGCUAUCGCAUGAUCGUAGGUCGGAUUAGCUAGUUGGUGGGGUAAAGGCCUACCAAGGCGACGAUCCGUAACUGGUCUGAGAGGAUGAUCAGCCACACUGGAACUGAGACACGGUCCAGACUCCUACGGGAGGCAGCAGUGGGGAAUAUUGGACAAUGGGCGCAAGCCUGAUCCAGCCAUGCCGCGUGUGUGAAGAAGGUCUUCGGGUUGUAAAGCCCUUUUGGUUGGAAAGAAAAGCAGCAGGUUAAUACCCCGCUGUUUUGACGUUACCCAAAGAAUAAGCACCGGCUAACUUCGUG
rnacentral:rRNA from 1 species